GACGAACGCUGGCGGCGUGCUUAACACAUGCAAGUCGAGCGGUAAGGCCCUUUCGGGGGUACACGAGCGGCGAACGGGUGAGUAACACGUGGGUGACCUGCCCUCAGCUCUGGGAUAAGCCUGGGAAACUGGGUCUAAUACUGGAUAUGACUCCACGGUGCAUGUCGUGGGGUGGAAAGCCUUGUGCGGCUGAGGAUGGGCCCGCGGCCUAUCAGCUUGUUGGGGGGUGAUGGCCUACCAAGGCGACGACGGGUAGCCGGCCUGAGAGGGCGACCGGCCACACUGGGACUGAGACACGGCCCAGACUCCUACGGGAGGCAGCAGUGGGGAAUCUUGCGCAAUGGGCGAAAGCCUGACGCAGCGACGCCGCGUGAGGGAUGACGGCCUGGUGUAAC
rnacentral:rRNA from 1 species